rnacentral:tRNA from 12 species
UUGGUAGAGCGCGGGACUGUUAAUCUUGAGGCCAAUGGUUCGAUCCCAUU